rnacentral:rRNA from 1 species
UACGUAGGGUGCGAGCGUUGUCCGGAAUUAUUGGGCGUAAAGAGCUUGUAGGCGGUUUGUCGCGUCUGCUGUGAAAAUCCGGGGCUCAACCCCGGACUUGCAGUGGGUACGGGCAGACUAGAGUGUGGUAGGGGAGACUGGAAUUCCUGGUGUAGCGGUGAAAUGCGCAGAUAUCAGGAGGAACACCGAUGGCGAAAGCAGCUCUCUGGGACGGUACUGACGCUGAGACGCGAAAGCGUGGGGAGCAAACAGG